UACGGAGGGGGCUAGCGUUGUUCGGAAUUACUGGGCGUAAAGCGCGUGUAGGCGGCCCUGCAAGUCGGAUGUGAAAUCCCACGGCUCAACCGUGGAAGUGCAUUCGAAACUGCAGGGCUAGAGUCCUGGAGAGGAAGGUGGAAUGCUUGGUGUAGAGGUGAAGUUCGUAGAUAUCAAGCGGAACACCGGUGGCGAAGGCGGCCUUCUGGACAGUGACCGACGCUGAGACGCGAAAGCGUGGGGAGCAAACAGG
rnacentral:rRNA from 1 species